rnacentral:rRNA from 1 species
CUACGGGGGGCUCCAGUGAGGAAUAUUGCACAAUGGGGGGAACCCUGAUGCAGCAACGCCGCGUGGAGGAUGACGCAUUUCGGUGUGUAAACUCCUUUUAUAUGUCAAGAAAAUGACGGUAGCAUAUGAAUAAGCACCGGCUAACUCCGUGCCAGCAGCCGCGGUAAUACGGAGGGUGCAAGCGUUACUCGGAAUCACUGGGCGUAAAGGACGCGUAGGCGGGCUUGUAAGUCAGGUGUGAAAUCCUACAGCUUAACUGUAGAACUGCACUGGAAACUACGAGCCUAGAGUAUGGGAGGGGGAGAUGGAAUUUGUGGUGUAGGGGUAAAAUCCGUAGAUAUCACUAGGAAUACCUAAAGCGAAGGCGAUCUCCUGGAACAUAACUGACGCUAAGGCGUGAAAGCGUGGGGAGCAAACAGGAUUAGAUACCCUAGUAGUC